CCAACUAGAAAAGGGAAAAGAAUAAACAUGACCCUCUUUGUAUUCUUCCACAGCUUUCUUGAACUGCAACUUCGUCUUAGAUCGUUCAUU